rnacentral:lncRNA from 1 species
CCCUGAGAGAGAAGUCCUCCCUAUCUGUUCCAGUUAACUCCUGCACUAGUGAUCUUUGCUUUCCACUGUGGAUGAACAGACCGAUCCAGGUGAAACCAGCGGACAGCGAAAGCCGAGGAGGACAGUCUUGCAGUUGGAUCCUGCACAGAGGAAAAGAAAGCUCUACACAGGGCAAUAGACUGCAGCUUGGAAGACUGAGGCUUAAAUUCUUACCUUGCCACAGAUAUUCUCCUCGACCUUGAAGAGGUUACUUAGGGUCAGCCUAUUAUUUUCACUCCAUUUCUAUCUGGUGACUAUUAUUAUCUUUGACUGAAUAUACACGUAAAAUUGGUCGAACAUCUUGCUC